AUGAAAAUGGUGAUUGGGAAUAUCUCUUCCUUUGGGAAAAUGUCAUUGGUGUGUACUUAAUGGGGAAAAGCAAGCUGCAAGAGUUGGAGGACGACAACCUACUUUGGUUCGUUUAGGAAGAGUUUUCCUAGAAUGAUGGACAGAUGAGGGGAUGUUCCAGGCUAGCUGCAGAAACCCCGGAGGACAGAGGGCAGGGUCCCAUGGGGAAGGAUGGGGCCCAGCCCUCCAGGCGUGGUGCCAUCAAGCUGUCCUGCCUUCUCUGUGAUGGUGGCUGCCAUGUCGUGGGAAAGGAGUGUCUCCACUAAUGAGGAUCUGAAGACCCCAGGGCCAAGGGCAGAGAGGAGCAGUGGCCGUGGAAACCGAGCCUCAGGGAAGCUCAGGGGCUUGCUAGGCGGCGACACAGCCAACGAGUGCCAGAGCCGGAAUCCAAGCCCGCUUCAGGCUGUGUCUGCAGAUCGUCUCAGAGUCUGCCCACCUCCCUCUACCGUGCUUCAUCAUAUGUGAAAAUCUGAUUUCUCUUUCAACGGCUGCCACAGAGAGGCCCAGGGCAUGGCCACCGACAGGCAGAGGGGAGCACCCAGCUGGAGCUGUUGACAGCACCUUCCUCCUUCCCAGGGAAACACAGCUGGACCGCUUGGAGUCUCCACGUCUGACACCCAGGUGAGAAAGCUGAGGGCCAGAGAGGUGAGCAGCCCGUCCGAGGUCGCACAGCCCUCCUAGACCUUGGCUGUGAGCCAUCGCCCGCCACCAUUGCAGGAAGCGUUCCUGGAAAGCAAGCCGGCCCUGGGUUCCUUGUAGAGAUCAGAGGAGCCACAAGAUCCCCAGGCCAGGGCAGAGGUCCCCACCCUGGACGCUGGUGACACUUCCCCUGGGAGGGCGGGGCUGGGACAUGAAGAUCUCAGCCCUGAACACCGAGUUCUCCCGCUACAGGGUUCUCAGUAGACUGGGGACAGCCUGUCCUGACUGGCUUCCUGUCACCUCCCCCACCCUCCCCACCAUCUCCUGGCCUGUCUCUGGGGCUCCCAGCAGAGGAGAGGGGAUCUUGGGGGCACUCCUGAGCUAAAAGGCCGUCAUAGCUUACAAGACGCUGCCCCUCUUGGCUCUUCACGGAAGGAAUUUUUUUUUUCCCCAGUUAAUCCAAGCGAUGCAUGGCAAUGUGAUAGAACAUCAAAUAUGGGGGCGACUCGGGGGGCACAGUCGGUUGAGCGUGUGACUCUUAAUUUCUGCUCAGGUUAUGGUCUCAGGGUCCUGGGAUGGAGCCCCACAUCGGUCUCCACGCUCACUGGGGAGUCUGCUUGAGGAAUCUCUCCCUCCCUCUCCAGCUGCCCUCCCCAUGCUCUCUCUCACUCUCUCUCUCUCAUAUAAAUAAAUCUUUUUAAAAAGGCAUAAAAUACAGAGAAACUGAAUAUCCCAUGCCUGGAAAUAUACAGGUAACACGUCCUUUCUCCUCCUCCCCCCUGCAACUCUUUCUUCCUUCCUUCCUUCUUCCCACCAACAUUUAUUGAG